AGUGCCUCCCUCGGGCGUGGGUCUGCAGGAGAGCCGGACAGGGCAGCGGCUGGCACUACCGCGCCGCGAUUUGCGCAGAGCUGAAGAAGCCCCUGACCGUUGAAGAGGUGGCCCCCUCCCCGUCGGGCCUCACGAGGUAGGGGGCUAGCUUAUCCCCUUCUACCCUCCCCUUCUCCCCGCCACCACACACUCCCCGCAGGCUUCCUUCUUGAAUCAAGUUCCCAGUUCCCAAGCGAGGGGGCGACCUCGUCCUGGGAGGGCGACCUCGACUGGAGGGCAACUUCGUCCUGGGCUAGGUAGGGGGUUGAAGCCCUUUCCAAGGUCUAAAGUGCUAAAGGAAGAUUGUUCCCGCAAAACACGCCUAUAGGCCACUUUUUCAAUGCUCAGAGCUGUUGCCUUAGAAACAGAGAAUUCUGAUUUGCACACAACUUUGUAUGUGCAAGUUAUUGGUUUAACACAGGUACAUGGACCUCAUCCUUUGCUUCCUUCCACCUCAGCGCCGGAAUUGAAUUAUUCGGCCUCUGCCUCCCUGAAACCAGCCCGGUAACCUCCGUGUUUCCGUGUGAACAUACGCCUCUGGUAUUUUGCGGAGAUUUGGGAUGGGGUUCGUUUAGUGAUGUGGGCAGCUGGUCCACUGAAAUGUGGACAUCACUUUGGCCCUGCCUAUUGACCACUCUGGUAACACAGUGUCAUCUGGUGUGGAGAUGAGAACCUCAGACAGCGUGAAGCAGGCAGUGGGCCUCAGUGUUGGAGACCGCCAGGGAGAGGGAGAAAGGCAGCUAUAGCCCCAAAGUGUUACCAGCAUGGAGCCUGUUAACUAACAUGGCUAACACGGAUUAUUUGAAUAAGCACAUGAUGGCAGCCAAUCUACUUCCUGGGAUUCACAUGCUGAACGACAUUCAUCCUCAAAUCAUCCUUAAAUCUAAGUGGAGUGGCUGGAGAACACAUGUGUGCCCUGUGCAUGCUUGUCAAUAACUGAUGUGUCCUGCAUGCACGGAAUGUGUCCAGGCUGAGGGCUAGGCUCCUUUGUUCCGUUAUUUGUCCUAGACAUUGCAUUGUAAGGAAUUAGCCCAUGAGAGCUGUGACUAUGUUUGUUUUACUCAUUACUAAAUCCCUUAAGUCUAAAAUGGUUCCUGGCAUGUGGCAGAAGCUUAAAAAAUUGUUGAAUGAAUGAAUUUUGUAGAUAAAAAUGUCUUCUCACCAAUAUGGCCACCUCUGUACAAACAAAUCAAUAUCAUCCCUUUGGUGUCUCAGCUUUCAUUUCUUCCAGUAAUUCCAACCCCUGUUGGGAUGUGUUGGUUUAUGACAGUGGUUGUCUAGCACAGCGGUCCGCAACCUUUUUGGCACCAGGGACCAGUUCUGUGGAAGACAGUUUUUCCAUGGACUGAUGGGGGUUGGAGGGGAUGGUUUUGGAAUGAAACUGUUCCAUCUCAGAUCCUCAGGCAUUAGAUUCUCAUAAGGAGUGUGCAACCUAGAUCCCUUGCCUGUGUAGUUCACAAUAGGGUUUGCACCUUUAUGAGAAUCUGAUGCUACCACUGAUCUGACGGGAGGCAGAGCUGGGCGGUAUGCUUGCUUUGUCUGCUCACCUCUUGCUGUGCAGCUGGAUUCCUGACAGCCUACCGGUCUGUGGCCCCGGGGUUGGGAACCCCUGGUCUUGGGGCUUGUUAAAACAGAAUGCUAGGCUUUGUCUUCGGAGUUUCUGAUUCAGUAGGUCUGGGAUGGGGCUUGAUAAUUUGAAUUUCUUUUUUUUUUUUUUUUGAGAUAAGGUCUCACUCUGUCACUCAGGCUGGAGUGCAGUGGCACGAUCAUGGCUCACUGCAACCUUGACCUCCCAGGCUCAAGCAGUUCUGCCACCCCAGUCUCCCAAGUAGCUGAGACCACAGGCACAUGCCACCAUUCCUGGCUAGUUUUUUAAUUUUUAUUUUUGUAGAGAUGGUUGCCCAGGCUAGUCUCGAACGCCUGGGCUCAAGUGAUUCUCCUGCUUUGGCCUCCUGAAGUGCUGGGAUUACAGGCAUGAGCCAUUGUGCCUGGCCUGUGCCAGGUGAUACUGAUGCUAGUGGUUGGGGCCACAUUUUGAGAACCAUGGGCUUACAAGGCCUGGAGAAACUACUGGCUACACUGCUGUAGGUCUGCCUCAGCUAUGGCACUAUCACAAAACAUAGAGGCUGGGGAUCUGGGACUAGGGUAAAGGAUUCCAGAUUCCCCAAACAGUUGAUCAUUUUACCCUUCUGUUUAAAACUCAUUAAUGACUUCCCAUUGUUCUCAUUGUUAAUGAAAAUUAAGAUCCUCAGUAAGGAGGCCGGAUGUGGUGGCUCACGCCUGUAAUCCCAGCACUUUGGGAGGCUGAGGCAGGUGGAUCACGAGGUCAGGAGUUCGAGACCAGCCUGGCUAAUAUGGUGAAACCCUGUCUCUACUAAAAAUACAAAAAAAAUUAGCUGGGCGUGGUGGUGCAUGUCUGUAAUCCCAGCUAUUUGGGAGGCUGAGGCAGGAGAAUUGCUUGAAUCGGGGAGGCAGAGGUUGCAGUGAGCCGAGAUGAUGCCACUGCACUCCACCCCAGGCAACAGUGUGAGAGUCUGUCUC
rnacentral:sRNA from 1 species